rnacentral:rRNA from 1 species
AGCAGCCGCGGUAAUUCCAGCUCCAAUAGCGUAUAUUAAAGUUGUUGCAGUUAAAAAGCUCGUAGUUGAAUUUCGGGGUCAGUAGGUUGGUCGUGCCACUGGUAUGCACUGGUCUCACUGAUUCCUCCUUCCUGAUGAGCCGUAAUGCCAUUAAUUUGGUGUUGCGGGGAAUCUGGACUGUUACUUUGGAAAAAUUAGAGUGUUUAAAGCAGGCUAACGCUUGAAUACAUUAGCAUGGAAUAAUGAAAUAGGACGAUCGAUCCUAUUUUGUUGGUUUCUAGGAUUGACGUAAUGAUUAAUAGGGAUAGUUGGGGGCAUUAGUAUUCAAUUGUCAGAGGUGAAAUUCUUGGAUUUAUUGAAGACUAACUACUGCGAAAGCAUUUGCCAAGGAUGUUUUCAUUAAUCAAGAACGAAAGUUAGGGGAUCGAAGACGAUCAGAUACCGUCGUAGUCUUAACCAUAAACUAUGCCGACUAGGGAUCGGAUGAUGUUAAUUUUUAACGACUC